AAGGUAUUAGUUUAACAUGGAGAACACUAUUUUGCAAAAAUAGUAGUAUUACUUUAAUAUACCUUU
rnacentral:tRNA from 1 species